GUUGCUUUGCUCAAAGAAACCAUAAAAAAAUUAUAUUUCCUCAACAAAUUAUAUUUUAUAAUAAUAUACACAUGUCUGUCAUGUUAAAUUAAAUUUGUAAUGCACUUAUCUGAAAUCUUUCUGACUGGAAAUGUCUUUUCCGUGUUUCCAUCAGCGUAAUCUCCAUUUUGGUGACGUAUUACCCAAGAGUGCACUUACGCUGACGUUGAGACUGUGACAAUCUCGCCCCAGAUAAUAUCGGCCAGAAGUUGAUCUGUGCCGUAACGGAAGUAUGAAAAUAAAUCAAGGGUGUCGCAAACAAAUAUUUAUUAAUAUGCAGUUUUAUUAAGUAUAAUAAAAAAAAAAUCUUUAGUUUAAACGGCACAUGGUGCAUGUGAAUAAACAAGUGGACUCACUUGGAAGGUAUUUUUAGGGCCGAACUGUUCAGUACGAUUAAAACCACGAGGUCAAGGUUUGUUUACAUUGUACAUACGUUGAGAAACGUCUGUCGUUGGGCCUAUCUAUCAUUGAUCUGAUAUUUUUCUAAGUUAUUUAUAUGCCGGACGACAAUUAAUAGAAAGGCACAUAUGUGAACUUGGAGAAAAUCAGAAUUUACAUCUUUAGCAGUUUAGGGAAAGGAAGAGUAAAAAAAACCUUCUUGCAGCAAACCAGUAACAGCAGUGACAGUCCCACACGCAGUGUUACCAGUU
rnacentral:lncRNA from 1 species